rnacentral:rRNA from 1 species
AACGAACGCUGGCGGCAGGCCUAACACAUGCAAGUCGAGCGAGGACUUCGGUUCUAGCGGCGGACGGGUGAGUAACGCGUGGGAAUGUGCCCUUCUCUACGGAAUAGCCCUGGGAAACUGGGAGUAAUACCGUAUACGCCCUAUUGGGGAAAGAUUUAUCGGAGAAGGAUCAGCCCGCGUUGGAUUAGGUAGUUGGUGGGGUAAUGGCCUACCAAGCCGACGAUCCAUAGCUGGUUUGAGAGGAUGAUCAGCCACACUGGGACUGAGACACGGCCCAGACUCCUACGGGAGGCAGCAGUAGGGAAUCUUAGACAAUGGGGGCAACCCUGAUCAAGCCAUGCCGCGUGAGUGAUGAAGGCCUUAGGGUUGUAAAGCUCUUUCAGCUGGGAAGAUAAUGACGGUACCAGCAGAAGAAGCCCCGGCUAACUCCGUG